AAUGCCUACGGGGCGCAGCAGUGGGGAAUAUUGGGCAAUGGGCGCAAGCCUGACCCAGCAAUGCCGCGUGAAGGAAGAAGGCCCUCGGGUUGUAAACUUCUUUUAUCAGGGACGAAGGAUGUGACGGUACCUGAUGAAUAAGCUCCGGCUAACUACGUGCCAGCAGCCGCGGUAAUACGUAGGGAGCAAGCGUUAUCCGGAUUUACUGGGUGUAAAGGGAACGCAGGCGGUCUUUUAAGUGUGAUGUGAAAGAGUUCG
rnacentral:rRNA from 1 species